rnacentral:ncRNA from 2 species
CAAUUUGUUGGUGAUGGAGCUCACCAGAACCGUCCACCUGACGUGGACUGAUAGCCCCUACCCGUGU